GAAACAGACUGAUACCGUUCCUAGGAGGUUCAGAAUGAUCCCAUCGUAACAUCACUUCACAUUGCAUCUUGUCAUGAGAUGAGGAAAUAGAGGUCCAGAACAGUCAAGCAAUUCGCCUAAAUUCAUCCAACUGCCCAGUGACAGACCUGGAACUUCAAAAUCAACUUCAGAGCAUUUCUGUGAGGCAUCCAGUGGAAAAGUAUUUGAGGAGUGGGAAAAUAAUCGGAGGAGCAGAUGAAAUAUGAACUGGAGAAGGGGAUUCUGAAAGCAGAUUACGUCAAUGACUGAUGCAGUACCGAAGCUGAACUAUGACAAGUGCCUGGACCAGUGGUGGCCAUUUGGAUGAAGAGGAAGGGACAGGUCCCGGAAAUUUGGGGGAAGAAGGAACUAAGGCCCCAAGUGCUUAUCUGAGUCACCAAGGACACCCAGCAGAAACAAUGAAGAACUAUUUUAGAACCUGGAACUCCUCAUUCAGGUUUCAAAGAGGAUAAUGGAACAGUGACUGUGCCUGAUUUGAUUAUAUUCUGUCUUAGCACUCAACAUGGAGCUUGGCACCCGAUGAAGUAACGGAGGCACAGAGAAGUCAAGG